AUUGAACGCUGGCGGCAUGCUUUACACAUGCAAGUCGAACGGCAGCACGGGAGCUUGCUCCUGGUGGCGAGUGGCGAACGGGUGAGUAAUGCAUCGGAACGUACCCAGUAGUGGGGGAUAGCCCGGCGAAAGCCGGAUUAAUACCGCAUAUUUCCUGAGGGAGAAAGCGGGGGGACCUUCGGGCCUCGCGCUACUGGAGCGGCUGAUGUCGGAUUAGCUAGUUGGUGAGGUAAAGGCUCACCAAGGCGACGAUCCGUAGCUGGUCUGAGAGGAUGAUCAGCCACACUGGGACUGAGACACGGCCCAGACUCCUACGGGAGGCAGCAGUGGGGAAUUUUGGACAAUGGGGGCAACCCUGAUCCAGCCAUGCCGCGUGAGUGAAGAAGGCCUCGGUUGUAAGACUCUUUCUAGGUGGAAGAAAGUACACUACCCGAACUAC
rnacentral:rRNA from 1 species